UACGUAGGGGGCAAGCGUUGUCCGGAUUUAUUGGGCGUAAAGAGCGUGUAGGCGGCUUCACAGGUCCGCUGUGAAAACUCGAGGCUCAACCUCGAGACGUCGGUUGAAACCGUAUGGCUAGAGUCCGGAAGAGGAGAGUGGAAUUCCCGGUGUAGCGGUGAAAUGCGCAGAUAUCGGGAAGAACACCCGUGGCGAAGGCGGCUCUCUGGGACGGUACUGGACGCUGAGACGCGAAAGCGUGGGGAGCGAACAGG
rnacentral:rRNA from 1 species